UAGUAUAGCUAUGGGUCGAUAUGGUCGAAACAUCAGUUUGAAAAUAUAUAUACCCCACAAAAAUUAUCGCAUCACUGGUAUUUUAGGAUUUUUUAAUACUUAAUUUUAGUUUUUUUGGGACAAUCUGUAUAUGUAUCAACUUAAUAGAUAUUUCUUGUUUCUUAUCAUGGACAAAAAAAUAUCACAAUUUCUUACAAAUUUUUUGGAAGCAAAAAUUUUUGAGUAAAUCAUUUCUGUCUUGGAGAAUGCAUUGAGAUCGAGAACUUUCUAAGGAAAUUGUGUUAUUGUUUAGUGAAAAUUAUUUUGUUACUAAUUGAUGUGCUUCAUACAAGAUAUCCGCAGUCAAGAUACGUCGCCGGGGUAAUUGGAGUUUAACAAAGUACCAUAUCCAGAGUUAUUAUACCAAGAAACAGGGCAGCUAACCAGAAGAUCCGGACAAGGCUGCGGUAGUAGAUGAUCGUUAUUUGAGGUUAACGGCGUUAAGAAUUAGGCAUACUACCGCUCGAAGGCUGCAAGCUGUUGGCUGCUCGUAAUGUCCGAAUAAGCCUAGUUCUAGUUUUCUUAACAAGAUAUCUAUUUCUUCUAUGGUUUCUCCAACUAAUAACUCGUCAUCUGUCAUGAACAUAUAUUGCUAGAAAUAUACCAUUAUCGUUUUUUCUAAAAACCCAUUUAUUUGUCAAGAUUUUCUUAUUUUUCGCUUCUUCUUGAUCUACAUACUCCUAUGUCUGGUUUCUUUCAAACGAUUCGUUUUCAUCAUUUACUUAUAGCUUGUUCCCAGUAUUGAUUUUCUUCACUUUGCAUUGCUCAUUAUAUGUUAUGAGAGCAUAAUCAUUGUAUUGACUUGGUUUCUUAAUACUUCUUUCUCUUCUACUUGUAAAGCCUUGUUGAUUCCUCUCCGUCACUUUCUUCAUAAAUAUAUCGCUUUCAGUAACAAUUUUUUCUGUUUCUUCAUUUAUUGGUAAUUUUCUUUCACUAAUUUUACUUGAAUUUUUCUUUCUUCUGGAAUUUCUUUUAGUUUUUCUUCCAUAUUUUUAUUUUUUCGUGUGUGCUUUGUAUUUUAUCUUCUUCAAUAUUUUACAUUUCUUCUUGGACUUGUUGAAUAUUAUUUUCUUUCUCUUGUUUAAGGCUUUCAUUUUCUUCUGCAUCAUCAAUUUUUAUAUCUAUUUUUGAAAUUUUUAUUUCAUUUUUAUUCUUUUUAAUUAUAACAUCUCUUCUAAUUAUAAUUUUAUUAUUUUUUUCAUCAAAUAAUCACUUCUUUCAUCAAGUAUCUUUGCAUAUGUUUCUGUUACAAAAAUUUGCAUUCUUUCAAUACCAGGUUUUUUAUUUGCCCAUAUUUUGGUUGGUGUUUUAUUAAUUGGUAUAUAUUCUGUAGGAGUUCGGUUUAAUAUUUAACUCUGGCUGCUUCACCCUAAAAUUUCUCUUUGACUGCCAAAUAAUAGUGAUCUAACUUUCUCAAUAAGUGUUCAAUUGAAGCUCCUACUUUAUCAUUUUUCUGUAGUAGUCUAUCAAUUCAUUGUUAUAUUCAUCUCCAUUGUCACCAUUGUUGAAACUUUCAUAUUUUUGUAUCUUUCAUUUGCUUCUAGAUAUUCUUGUAUAAAGUCUGAAGCUUCAUUUUUAUAUUCUAAUAAAUACAUUUCUGUCCAGUUUGUGCAAUCAUCAAUAAGAGUGAGAAUAUAGUUUCAUUAUCCCAGGUUAGUGGAUCAAUUGGACCACAUUAAUGAGUAUGGAUAAUUUCCAAUGCUCUUGUAGCCUUUGUUCUUUCUGAAUUAAAUGGAAAUUUUGUUUGAUGAGAAUGAGAAGUCACAAUCUCUACUUUUCCAGUCAAUCCUUAAUACCACCUCUAAAUCAAUCAUUUUAUUUAUAUUUUUUAUGUUAAUUUUCAAUGCCAGUCAUUUACUUUUUCUUGUUAAAUUUUCAACGAAAAACUUUCUUCUUUGUUUUCAUUUGAUUCAUUUAGUUACUGAAAAUAAGCCUGGGACAUUCUUUUUUCCUUCAAAUAUUUUUUGAUUAUUUUUUAAAACCAUAACUUUGUCUCCUACAAAGAUCACCUUUCCUUUAUUUUCGGUAAUUGCUUUUCUUGUCCUUUUUACAAAUUUUGCAAAACAUUUUUUCAUUUUUCUUAGUUUCAUUUCUGUUUCCUGAACAAUUUUUAUUACUUUUCUCAUAUUUACUCAUACUAGCACUUUUGUAUCUACAAAAAGGUGCUAUGUCUAUGUUUCUACAUAUAUGUGGACAAACUGUGUAAUUGUUUUGAAAAGCUACACUCAGUGCCUUUUUCAAAUUGACAACUAAAAAAUUCUCAAAGCAAAUAACAUUUUUGAUCAUUUGUGUUCCUUUUAAUGAGUGUUUUUAAUUUUGUGUACAUCUGGGCUGAACUUUCACAGUUCAUUAUAUAAAUUAUCACCUUUUUAACCACUGUAGAGAUAAUUAUUUUCUGCGUUUUCGCAUCUUUUUAUAUCCAGGUUUUCUUAUCUCUCUUCCAGCUAAAUUUUCCAUUUUUCUUCUCCCAUUACUAUAUUAUAAAUUUCACUAGCUUUAAAAGAGAUUCCUGUUUAAAAGUCCCAAAUUUCAAAAAAUUCAGAGCAUCAGUUUUUCAAUAUUACGUAUUUCUUCAGUUUCAGUAGCCAUUGUUUUGACUUUCGUUUAAAAAAGCACAAGUUACUUUUAUUUUUGUUUUUAUGUUGAUCUUUAUGGCACUUUUUCAGUUAGGGCUUUCCUGGGCCCAUAACCUGUUAGUUUUUUGUUUUAUUUUAUUCUUUUAUUAAUAAGGAGUAGUACACAGUGGAACUUUUUAUUGUUUUUAUGUUAUUACAAACUUUGUUACAUGAACCUAAAAACAUCUACGUUAUUCUAGAAUAAUAAUCUAAUAUCUAACACUAAUAAGCUAAUUACUAAGACUAAGAUCACUAAAUAUUAUUGUUCUUGAGUAUUCUCUAACAAUCAUAAUCUAAUCAAUUUUAAUAGCAACCAGAAUCAAUAAACUCAAAAUUUAUGUCAAGUGGUAAUUUGAAUAUUGAUUUUUGAUUCUUAUGAAUUCUAUAAUUUUAAAUUAAUAAAUGUAAGUGAUAUAUAAUGUUUUUAUACUUUAUACAUAUUUUCACUCCAAAACAAAAAAAAUCAAGUUUACAAAUGACAUUAAUCUGUUUUCUAUUUCAGAAUUGAAAUUUAGAACUUAAUAUGUAUUAAAAAUGUUUUCAUGGAUGGAUUAAUCCUUGAUGCAUAUGUAUGGAAGAGGUCUAUUUCUGUGUAUAUCAAUUUCCGAUAUUUUUCUGUAUUUGAAAAUGCUCAAUUGGUUUCAUCUUUAUUCGAUUAGAUGACUGAACGAUCAGGUCGCUUCGGAAAGUUAAGUAGUCAUUGAGAAUGAUUAGUUCAACUGUGUCAAGUGAGUAGACUUCUCAAAUGAAGAUACCUACAUCAGAAAAAGAAGAAGAAAACAUCAUUAAGUUUCCAAUGGAACUUUCCAUAAAUUGGUUUGACUUUUGUGUUGUUGGCAUGAUAAUACCUAUGGUUGAAAUAUGAACAUAAUUUAUUUAUCUUCUCUUCUGUUUUUUUCGAUUACUUCAACAAAUGCUUGGGACUCCGAGCAAUUAGAAGUAUUUGAUGCUGUAGACGAUGUCAAACAAAACUUUUAUGAACUUCUUAAUAUUUCUAAAGAUGCUACCAGUUCUGAAAUUAAAUCAGCAUUCAGAACGCUCUCUCUUAAGCUACAUCCAGACAAAAAUAAAGAAGUUGAUACCUCUGAACAAUUCCGUAAUUUAGUUACAGUCUAUGAAGUCUUAAAAAGCCCUGCCAAAAGAAAGUAUUAUGAUGAUACCCUCAUCAAUGGACUUCCUAACUGGAGGUCGGGUAUAUUCUACUACAGAUAUGUUCGUAAAAUGGGAAUAACUGAAGUUUUAGUAAUUCUUUUUGUUAUUAUUACUAUUGGACAAUACUUGGUUAACUGGGGAGUCUACUUUGAGAAAAUUCUGACUCUGGAAGAUCAAAAACUUCGAAAGAAAAAAUCACGAAACAGAGGGAAAGUUGAGGAAGAUCCAGAUAUUAUUAUACCAAAACCAUCAGUAUUAGAUACACUUCCUAUCCAAAUACCAAAAUUUGUCUGGUUCUUAAUAACAUGCAUCCCUGCUGCAUUUAGAUUUUUAACAUCUUCAGUCAAAAAUAAGAUAGAAGUUAACAGACCUCUGACACCAGAACUAGAACCUGAACCUGUAAGGAUUAAAACCACCAGAAAAAGGAAUAAAUUUAUACUUCCAGAAGGGCCUAACUUUGAACUUCAAGAUACAGAGCCAAAAAGUGACUGUGGUACUUCAGCUCCUCCUCCUCUUGUUUCAGGAGGCCUUUGGACUGAUGAUGAUUUAACAGAAUUAAUAAGAUUAGUAAAAAAAUUUCCUCAAGGAACAACUGAAAGAUGGGAAAAAAUUGCUGCAUUUCUCUAUAGAUCUGUACCGGAAGUCACAUAUAUGGCAAAUAAGAUGAAAGAAAAUGGCUAUAGAUUACCAUGUGAACAGGAUGAUGAAAUACAAGUUAAAGUAAAACAAAAAUCAAAGAAAGAGGUUGGUCCCUAUGAUAGUGUAACAAAUUGGGGACAGGCACAGCAAAAGGCAUUGGAAGAUGCUCUUUUGAAGUUUCCCAAGGGAGUUUGUGAUAGAUGGGAUAGGAUAGCUGAACACGUUCCUGACAAAAAUAAAGAAGAAUGUAUGCAGAGGUUUAGGUACCUAGCGGAGGAUCUGAAGAAACGAAAAGAUACCUCUGAUAAGACUGAAUAAACAAAUUUUAUGAGUGCAAAAAUUUUUCGUAGAAGAAAAAUGAUUGAAUUCAUUUACAUAGAUAAGGAAAAUAAAUUGGAGCUCCAUGAAUUGGAAAAUAAUGAGGUUGUAAGAAAACGUAUUCAAAAGUGAGAUGUUUUAUUUAAGAAAAAGGCUGGUCGACAUUGAGUAAGCACGAGUGAAAGAAACUAGACUUCUUAAUAUAAAUAAUUUUAAAAGAAUUAUGUAGAUUCUCUCUCCAAAAAAACAAUAAAUUUUAUUAAAAUAGCAUAUUUUAAAUCUUCUCCUA